GAGUUAAAAAAAAUUAUGAGACCUGUAGAAAGAUAGUUGCAGAUGAGGUUGACUUAACUUUAUAGCAUGAAAAAAGGAGAAUAUGCAUUCGAAGUAUGAUUUUAAUGAUGUGUAUAAAAAGGAUAAUAUUGUGAUAAAAGAAAGACACAAUUUAAAUUUACAUGUGAAAUUCAAACAUGUAAAUAAAAUUGAAAAGACCAAUUUAUUAUAAAAAUAUAAAAAGAAUUGAGUUUAACUAUUGGCUGUGUCGGAACUCUGAUCGUUGGAAAAUCUUCAUUAAUUAAUACUUUGAUGGGUAAAACAAUUGUUAGUAUUUCCAGAACUCUGAACACACAAAACACUUCCAAACAAUCUUUUCAACUAGGAAUAUAUGGUUGUGCGACUAUCCUGGAUUUAUGUUCUCUUUAACUGUACCCAAACAAUUCCAAAUUCUUAUGAAAUUCUAUCCAAUAUCCCUAUUUAGGGAAACUUACAUAAAAAUCGAAUUUUAUGCACAACGGGUGAACUUGCAAAAUUUGUGAAAAUUUUAACACCAUAAUAUCAAUGAUUAUUGGUCAGUAAAGGAUAUAUGCAACAGUUGGGCUGCCAAGAAAAAUGUUCACAUGGCAAAAAUAGUCAGAUUGAAUACCAACAGAGUUACGAACCGCUUAUUCAGAAUGAUAUUAGUUCGGAAAAUUUGUAUUUUCGCAUAUCCUCCGAAAUGAUCUAUCAUCGAAAAAGACCGAUGGAAAAGUCAUUUCAACAGAAACUGUCAAGUGGAUCCAUACAAAAAAUCACGAAAAACUUCGGUGUUAUCGAGCUAUUGUCGGAGAUGGAAGAUUCGUUUAACGACAAGCCUCUGUCCACAAUAAAAAAUAAGCUUGAA